rnacentral:rRNA from 1 species
CUCCAGUUCGUGCUAGACAGGAUCAGAGCGAGGUUGGCUGGCUGGAAAGGCAGGUUACCGAACAUAGCGGGGCGACGCGUGCUGGUCAGGGCAGUGCUAACUGCCAUCCCAACGUUUGCCAUGACAGUGCUACGCAUGCCCAAGAAAUUUUUCAAGGAGAUAGAUAAGGUGCGUCGUCGCUUUCUUUGGGCGCAGGACGAGGAGUUGUCAGGAGGUCAAUGCAAAGUGAAUUGGGCCAAAGUUUGCUCCCCACUCGAC